rnacentral:tRNA from 1 species
GCGGGUGUGAUGAAAUUGGUAUACAUGCUAGAUUUAGGUUCUAGUGCCGCAAGGCGUGAAGGUUCGAGUCCUUUCACCCGCACCA